ensembl:rRNA 5S_rRNA 5S ribosomal RNA
GCUUACGGCCACACCGCCUGGUUCACGCCCGAUCUCGUUUGAUCUCGGAAGCUAAGAUAGGUUGGGCCUGGUUAGUACUUGGAUGGGAGACCGCCUGGGAAUACCAGGUGCUGUACUUU